GACGAACGCUGGCGGCGUGCUUAACACAUGCAAGUCGAACGGAAAGGCCUGCUUUCCCUUGUGGAUUGCGGGUACUCGAGUGGCGAACGGGUGAGAAACACGUGAGUGAUCUGCCCCCAACUUGGGUAUAAGCCUGGGAAACUGGGUCUAAUUCCCGAUAGGACUGCAGGGUGGUGCCUGUGGUGGAAAACGAUUUUCUAGUGGUUGGGGAUGAGCUCGCGGCCUAUCAGCUUGUUGGUGGGGUAAUGGCCUACCAAGGCGGCGACGGGUAGCCGGCCUGAGAGGGUGGACGGCCACAUUGGGACUGAGAUACGGCCCAGACUCCUACGGGAGGCAGCAGUGGGGAAUAUUGCACAAUGGGCGGAAGCCUGAUGCAGCGACGCCGCGUGGGGGAUGACGGCCUUCGGGUUGUAAACUCCUUUCGACCGCGAGGAAGCCACCUGGUUGGAAGGGUGGUGACGGUAGUGGUAGAAGAAGCACCGGCUAACUACGUG
rnacentral:rRNA from 1 species